rnacentral:misc_RNA from 1 species
GAAGAUUUGGGAAGUAUUUGGUCUUGUUAUUGAUGCUCCUAGAUUGGUUUGACAAAUAGUAAGUCUGGGUAAGUAGUGCGGGUACAAGGCGAUCUGGAAAGCGAUGUACGGAUGUUACUCGGAUUGAAAACAUGAGUACAAGCUUGUCUAAACCGUUUCUGUUGGCAUUGAUUGGUUGAGAAGUCUUUCGGCUUCAUCAUUGGCUUCUGCUUGUAAUUUCCAUCUCUCCUCUAGAUUUUCCAGCGCCAUGAUUUGCUCUAUUCGUUCAGAAACCCUUUCCACACUGCUGGCUGCUUCAGCUGCAAUAACAUCAGACUCCAUUUCAACUUCAAUCUCAAUCAUCGAGGAAAUCCUU